AUCUUUGCGCUUGGGGCAAUGACUCAGCUAGUGAGGUAUUAUCCGAGGCGCGUCUAUUGCUGGUUGAAAACUAUUUCCAAACCCCCUCUUAGGCCUGUGUUCUUCUCAGGCCUUCCGAGAAUUUCUGGAAGGGGCUCCCUUCGGGGUAAAUCCC